rnacentral:tmRNA from 1 species
GGGGGUGACAUAGACUCGACGUGGGAGUUUGGUCUCGUGUGGCAGGCCGCAGCGCCUAACUGCGUUAAAAUGGGCAAAACUUUAGGUGCCAACAACACCAACACUGCCUACGCUUACGCCGCCUAGUCGGCUAAAGUAAAGGUGUUGGGCCACAGUAGCCCAACCGUCCGUCACCAUCGGCCCUAUCCGGGGGUGUAACGGGCGUCACCAAUGAUAGGGUGCUUCUGUGCCACGCCGAUACGCGCAGACUAAGAUUAUCGGCUAGGUGGGUGUGUACCGGGUUGAUCGGGGCUGCACACACCGAAAACUAACGAUCAACUAAGCCUGUAGAAGCACGUUAUUGGCUCUUAUCGGACCGCGGGGCAGUACCGCGCACCUCCACUG